rnacentral:snRNA from 1 species
AGCAACCAAACCACAAAACACU